ensembl:lncRNA
GCAGAGGGUGGAUGGUCCGCCCACUCAGAAGCCAUGCUACGGGCGGCUCUUGAUGACUGGGACAUGUUUCGGGCAAGUUCAACUAAAGUCAGCGAGUUCACGGAUGUAGCAUUAAGCUUUGUUAACAUGCUAGCCGAGCAAGCAACUGAAAUAAUAACUAUAAGGACCUCCUCAAAUCAGAAACCGUGGGUAGACAGAACAAUCUGUGCAGUAGUAAACAAACGCACUGCUGCUUACAAUGCCGGUCUUUUGUCGGGAAACAUGAGCGAUUACAAAGCAUCGUGCUAUGCUCUUCGACGCGCAUUAAGAGCCGCCAAACACCGAUACAGGGAACGAAUAGAGUCUCAUUUCCAGCUCAAUGACUCCCGACGCAUGUGGACCAUCUGUGCCUUUGGAAAUAAAUCCUCUGCAGUGGUGAGAGCAGAUCCGUGGCUGGCUGAUGAACUAAACUCUUUCUACGGCCCCUUUGAAAGCAAUCUAAGCAACGCGAGUCUGACGAUCAGCGCGUCAGGAAGCAGCAGUCAGAGCAGCGAUAAUCAUGUGAUCGCCAUGUCGGAGGACGGGGUUCAGAGGGCUCUAAAGCGAGUGAACGUCAGGAAAGCAGCCGGACCUGAUGGGAUUACUGGCCGUGUUCUGAGGUCAUGCACUGAUCAGCUCGCAGUUUGUUUACAUACAUUUUUAAUGAGUCUCUUGCUACCUCGGUGGUUCCCACCUCCUUCAUAUAAAUCUGUCAUCAUCCCUGUGCCUAAGAACAAUAAACCCUCUUGUCUGAAUGACUAUUGUCCAGUUGCCCUUACAUCAAUAGUCAUGAAGGUCUUCGAGGGACUCAUUCACAACAAUAAUGAGACCGCAUACUUGGAUGAGGUAGAGAAACUUACAUCAUGGUGCAAGGACAAUUGUCUCUCUCUGAAUGUGAGCAAAACUAAAGAGCUGAUUGUGGACUUCAGGAAGAGACAGCAGCAGCCCUAUACUCCUCUUAUGAUCAGCGGGACCCCUGUGGAGAGGGUGAGCAGCUUCAAGUACCUUGGUGUAAACAUCUCCGAGGACCUGACUUGGGCUUCACACAUCCAAACACAGGUUAAUAAAGCCAGGCAAAGACUGUACCAUCUGCGACAGCUGAGGAAAUUCAGGGUAUCUCAAUAUGUGAACCUGGACCACAAAAACAGUCUUAA